AAAAAAGGUUUUUAAGCGGCUGAGUACUGUGCUGACAUGACCGGUCUGGCCUGACCCAUCGGGUAUCCACGCUGUAGAGGGCAUCAGGUCCUCCUUAGCCGGUCAUAUGCAUUUAAUGCUUUGCCCCCCACGAUGGUAACAGAGUUGGGAGUUCACACUUAGUCCCGUGACAUUUACGCACCUGGGCUGAGUG